UGUGUGUGUGUCUCUGUAUGUAUGUGUCUCUGUGUGUCACAUACAGACACAUACAUACAGAGACACACACACAUA